rnacentral:rRNA from 1 species
AACUCAUCUAUGUGCAAAAUAGUGAGAAGAUUUGUAAGUAGAGGUGACAUGCCUAACGAGCCUGGUGAUAGCUGGUUGUCCAGAAAAUGAAUCUAAGUUCAGCUUUAAAGAUACCAAAGUUCAAAUGGAACCCCACUGUAGCUUUAAAAGUUAGUCUAAAAAGGUACACCCUUUUAGAAACGGAUACAACCUUGACUAGAGAGUAAAAUUUAACACUACCAUAGUAGGCCUAAAACAGCCAUCAAUUAAGAAAGCGUUAAAGCUCAACAAACAAAAAUUAAAUAGAUUCCAACAACAAAUGAUUUAACUCCUAGCCCCAAUACUGGACUAAUCUAUUAUAGAAUAGAAGCAAAUAAUGUUAAUAUGAGUAACACAGAAAAAAUUUUCUCCUUGCAUAAAGUCUUAAGUCACGUNCCCUGAAUUAAUACUCUGACCCACUAACAGUCAAUAAAAUAAUCCAACAAUAACAAUUAUGAUUAUACUGUAACCCAACACAGGAGUGCAUCUAAGGAAAGAUU